rnacentral:rRNA from 1 species
AAUGAACGUUGGCGGCGUGGAUUAGGCAUGCAAGUCGAGCGAGAACCGUAGCAAUACGGGGACAGCGGCGAAAGGGACAGUAAUGUGUAGGUACCUACCCCUGGGUUCGGGAUAGCUGCGGGAAACUGCAGGUAAUACCGAAUAAUGUCUCCGGACCAAAGGUGUGAUUCCACCUGGGGAGGGGCCUGCAUCCUAUUAGCUUGUUGGCGGGGUAACGGCCCACCAAGGCAACGAUGGGUAGCGGGUGUGAGAGCACGACCCGCGUCAUUGGGGCUGAGAUACUGCCCAGACACCUUCGGGUGGCUGCAGUCGAGGAUCUUCGGCAAUGGGCGAAAGGCUGACCGAGCGACGCCGCGUGCGGGAUGAAGGCCUUCGGGUUGUAAACCGCUGUCGUUGGGGAGGAAGUGCAGGGGGGGGUCUCCCCUCUGUUUGACCUAUCCAAGGAGGAAGUACGGGCUAAGUUCGUGCCAGCCGCCGCCGUAA